AGUGAACGCUGGCGGUAGGCCUAACACAUGCAAGUCGAACGGCAGCACAGUAAGAGCUUGCUCUUACGGGUGGCGAGUGGCGGACGGGUGAGGAAUACAUCGGAAUCUACUUUUUCGUGGGGGAUAACGUAGGGAAACUUACGCUAAUACCGCGUACGACCUACGGGUGAAAGCAGGGGAUCUUCGUACCUUGCGCGAUUGAAUGAGCCGAUGUCGGAUUAGCUAGUUGGCGGGGUAAAGGCCCACCAAGGCGACGAUCCGUAGCUGGUCUGAGAGGAUGAUCAGCCACACUGGAACUGAGACACGGUCCAGACUGCUACGGGAGGCCGCAGUGGGGAAUAUUGGACAAUGGGAGCAAGCCUGAUCCAGCAAUACCGCGUGGGUGAAGAAGGCCUUCGGGUUGUAAAGCCCUUUUGUUGGGAAAGAAAAGCAGCAGGUUAAUACGCAGCUGUUAUGACGGUACCCAAAGAAUAAGCACCGGCUAACUUCGUG
rnacentral:rRNA from 1 species